ACAAAAGAUCGCAAUGCUCU
rnacentral:snRNA from 1 species